rnacentral:rRNA from 1 species
UACGUAGGGUGCAAGCGUUGUCCGGAAUUAUUGGGCGUAAAGAGCUCGUAGGUGGCCUGUCGCGUCGGCUGUGAAAACUCGGGGCUCAACUCCGAGCUUGCAGUCGAUACGGGCAGGCUAGAGUUCGGCGGGGGAGACUGGAAUUCCUGGUGUAGCGGUGAAAUGCGCAGAUAUCAGGAGGAACACCGGUGGCGAAGGCGGGUCUCUGGGCCGAUACUGACACUGAGGAGCGAAAGCGUGGGGAGCGAACAGG